rnacentral:rRNA from 1 species
UAGUCCAUGCCGUAAACGAUGAGUACUAGCUGUUAUUUUUGGUGUAAAAGAAAUAGUAGCGAAGUUAACACGUUAAGUACUCCGCCUGGGGAGUACGACCGCAAGGUUAAAACUCAAAGGAAUUGACGGGGACCCGCACAAGCGGUGGAGCAUGUGGUUUAAUUCGAUGCAACGCGAAAAACCUUACCUACCCUUGACAUCCUAAGAAAGCGAUAGAGAUAUUGCCGUGCCUUCGGGAACUUAGAGACAGGUGCUGCAUGGCUGUCGUCAGCUCGUGUUGUGAAAUGUUGGGUUAAGUCCCGCAACGAGCGCAACCCUUAUCUUUAGUUGCCACCAUUUAGUUGGGGACUCUAAAGAAACUGCUGCUGAUAAAGCAGAGGAAGGUGAGGACGACGUCAAGUCAUCAUGGCCCUUAUGGGUAGGGCUACACACGUGCUACAAUGGGUAUUACAAAGAGAUGCAAAACUGCGAAGUGAAGCUAAACUUAAAAAAUACUCGUAGUCCGGAUUGUUCUCUGCAA